AUUGAACGCUGGCGGCAUGCUUUACACAUGCAAGUCGAACGGUAACAGGCCUUCGGGUGCUGACGAGUGGCGAACGGGUGAGUAAUGCAUCGGAACGUGCCCAGAGGUGGGGGAUAACGCAGCGAAAGCUGUGCUAAUACCGCAUGUGAUCUGAGGAUCAAAGCGGGGGACCAGGCAGCAAUGUUUGGCCUCGCGCCUUUGGAGCGGCCGAUGUCAGAUUAGGUAGUUGGUGGGGUAAAGGCCUACCAAGCCGACGAUCUGUAGCUGGUCUGAGAGGACGACCAGCCACACUGGGACUGAGACACGGCCCAGACUCCUACGGGAGGCAGCAGUGGGGAAUUUUGGACAAUGGGCGCAAGCCUGAUCCAGCAAUGCCGCGUGCGGGAAGAAGGCCUUCGGGUUGUAAACCGCUUUUGUACGGAACGAAAAGGCUCUGGCUAAUACCUGGGGCUGAUGACGGUACCGUAAGAAUAAGCACCGGCUAACUACGUG
rnacentral:rRNA from 1 species